UACGUAGGUGACAAGCGUUGUCCGGAUUUACUGGGCGUAAAGAGCGCGCAGGCGGUCGAUCAAGUCGAGUGUGAAAGCCCCCGGCUCAACUGGGGAGGGUCACGCGAUACUGCUCGACUCGAAGGCAGGAGAGGGAAGUGGAAUUCCCGGUGUAGUGGUGAAAUGCGUAGAUAUCGGGAGGAACACCAGUGGCGAAGGCGACUUCCUGGCCUGUUCUUGACGCUGAGGCGCGAAAGCUAGGGUAGCAAACGGG
rnacentral:rRNA from 1 species